rnacentral:rRNA from 1 species
UACGUAGGUGGCGAGCGUUGUCCGGAAUUACUGGGUGUAAAGGGCGUGUAGGCGGGUAAACAAGUCAGAUGUGAAAUUCCAGGGCUCAACCCUGGCGCUGCAUCUGAAACUGUAUAUCUUGAGUGCUGGAGAGGAAAGCGGAAUUCCUAGUGUAGCGGUGAAAUGCGUAGAGAUGUGGAGGAACACCAGUGGCGAAGGCGGCUUUCUGGUCUGUAACUGACGCUGAGGCGCGGAAGCGUGGGGAGCAAACAGG